UUUAAGUUACAUAUAUUUAUAUUUUCUUUGUAGAAACGAUGCGACAUAAACAGGGCCAAUCGAGCUAAGCUUAAAAUUAAUCAUUUUAUGGGGUCAAAAGCGUUUGUACCUGCUCGUGCUGAACUUGCUGAAAAUGGAGUAGAGCCUGACAGAAUCGAGUUCUACAAGAGUACUCAUUACUCUACUGAAAAAGGAUGGUCAUCUCUAGAGGCUGAGACUAACUAUAACAAUAUGAAAGAUUUGAAAGAUAUAUAUACUUCGGGAGAGCCGGAGAGCCUUGCAUGACUAUUGAUGAAAUUAUGAAUACUAUACUUGGUACAAAAUCGAGGUACAUUAAAGGUCUCGGUUAUG